ACGGGGUGCAGCAGGCGCGAAACCUUCACAAUGUGCGAAAGUGCGAUGAGGGAAUCCCAAGUGCUUGCACUUAAGUGUAAGCUGUUUCUUUGUUUAAAACGCAGAGAGAGGAAGGGCUGGGUAAGACGGGUGCCAGCCGCCGCGGUAAUACCUGCAGCUCAAGUGGUGACCGCUAUUAUUGGGCCUAAAACGUUCGUAGCCGGCUGAGUAAAUGCUUGGGUAAAUCGUGCCGCUUAACGGUACGAAUUCCGGGUAGACUGCUCAGCUUGAGACCGGGAGAAGCUAGAGGUACUCCUGGGGUAGAGGUGAAAUUCUGUAAUCCUGGGGGGACCACCAGUGGCGAAGGCGUCUAGCUAGAACGGGUCUGACGGUGAGGGACGAAACCCUGGGGCGCAAACCGGAUUAGAUACCCGGGUAGUCCAGGGCACAAACGCUGCUUGCUUGAUGUUAGCUGGGCUCCGGGCUCAGCUAGUGUCGGAGAGAAGUUGUUAAGCAAGCUGCCUGGGAAGUACGAUCGCAAGAUUGAAACUUAAAGGAAUUGGCGGGGGAGCAC
rnacentral:rRNA from 1 species